CCCCUCUCAAGACUGCACCUGGAGAGUUUCACCAGGACUCUACCAGGCUCGGCUACAGGAGGCAGAGUCAAGCAGAGGCAUACCCAUUCCAUUCCUAGCUUGGGCAGUGGCUAGCAAGUGGAAGGUAAUCUGCUACAAGU
rfam:Ornithorhynchus anatinus chromosome 3, whole genome shotgun sequence.